UUAAAGUUUGUCGACAGGUCGUUUGGGAGGUUGUAUUUUUGUUUCAAAUAGAUAAAGUAAACAUAGUUAUGCAAAACAGUGAACCACGCAAACGGCGAACGACGCAUCGAACAAGUUAAGAAAAUUAUUUGUAUUGUAUUCUGGUCACUUGUCACUUGUAAAUCGGUACCUACGUAAAAAAAUGGUAGGACUAACUGCCGAUAAAUCGGUAGGUCUGGCCACCCUGAAGUUAUCAAAACAAAUGAUUAGUCGCUGUGCCGCAGUUGUUUAUUUUGUUUGUUUUAGAGGUAGCCGAAAGUUUAAAAUCGUUUAUAAUCUGCAUUAAUUUUCUGUGUGACAAUUUGGAGUGGUCCGAUUACUGCUUACAUGGGACGAGACUAGACGAAACUGAGGAUCGACCAAUUCUACGAUCGGAUAUCUUCGUUGGAUGUUCCAUGAGACAUUUAUUACUUAGAGGGGCUAAGAACGGGAAAACCCUUAUUUUGAACUGCAGUACAAUACUACGCAAUACGGUCGAAGCCCACCUUUUUCACGAUUUCAGUAAAGCAUCAAUUGUGUGAAUCAAUCGACGGACAAAGAUUACUUGCUAACUGUAUGAGAAUCUAGUGGGUGUGAAUCGCAAGUGAACAACUGCAAGCGCAGAUUACCGGACUGUGAAGGAAGAAGCCACAUACCGAUCACAGGAGCUAGGUAGAAUCAUUCACAAUUCGUGGAGCAACCUGACCAACCAAACGAAAAUAUAUCGAUUAUACAGGUCAGGUAUUUCUUGCCCACGCGCGGCAAGCCGAGGGAGUUUAACCUAACCAGUGAUCUAAUUGCUAAUUCAUCUGAAUAGUUCGCUCGCAAGCAAAAAGUCGAUAGAUUUCUGUAUGCGCUAGUUACUGAAAGGAAUCAGUCCCAAUCUGGACAAUAUGGCUCGCCGGUAUCAAUCAAUGAAUGCCCCAUGCAGAUAGCUGUUUACUGUAACUGAAACAGAACAAGCAAAUAUUCAUAGAUAGUGAAACACAAUACUUUCCUUGACGAUGAUUACAAAUAUAGGUUGAAUGCGUGUAGGUACAUAACGCAUAACAUUUCCUGUUAUGUGGGAUUUGUACAAAUAAUGCAAAUAUGAGAAUUUGGAUGUAAUUAAAGUUUCAAUUAUACAUACAUAAAUAAGUGUAAAACUAAAGAAUAUAUUUUAAUACAUGGAUACAUAUUAAGAACAGA